rnacentral:rRNA from 1 species
CCCCUACGGGGCGCAGCAGUGGGGAAUAUUGGACAAUGGGGGGAACCCUGAUCCAGCGACGCCGCGUGAGUGAAGAAGUAUUUCGGUAUGUAAAGCUCUAUCAGCAGGGAAGAAAGAAAUGUCGGUACCUGACUAAGAAGCCCCGGCUAACUACGUGCCAGCAGCCGCGGUAAUACGUAGGGGGCAAGCGUUAUCCGGAUUUACUGGGUGUAAAGGGAGCGUAGACGGCGAUGCAAGUCUGAAGUGAAAGGCGGGGGCCCAACCCCCGGACUGCUUUGGAAACUGGGCGGCUGGAGUGCGGGAGG